rnacentral:rRNA from 1 species
UACGAAGGGGGCUAGCGUUGUUCGGAAUCACUGGGCGUAAAGCGUAUGCAGGCGGAUCGCUAAGUCAGGGGUGAAAUCCCGAGGCUCAACCUCGGAACUGCCUUUGAUACUGACGAUCUUGAGUCCGGGAGAGGUGAGUGGAACUGCGAGUGUAGAGGUGAAAUUCGUAGAUAUUCGCAAGAACACCAGUGGCGAAGGCGGCUCACUGGCCCGGUACUGACGCUGAGGUGCGAAAGCGUGGGGAGCAAACAGG